rnacentral:rRNA from 1 species
AGUGAACGCUGGCGGUAGGCCUAACACAUGCAAGUCGAACGGCAGCACAGUAAGAGCUUGCUCUUACGGGUGGCGAGUGGCGGACGGGUGAGGAAUACAUCGGAAUCUACUUUUUCGUGGGGGAUAACGUAGGGAAACUUACGCUAAUACCGCAUACGACCUACGGGUGAAAGCAGGGGAUCUUCGGACCUUGCGCGAUUGAAUGAGCCGAUGUCGGAUUGGCUGGUUGGCGGGGUAAAGGCCCACCAAGGCGACGAUCCGUAGCUGGUCUGAGAGGAUGAUCGGCCACCCUGGAACUGAGACACGGUCCAGACUCCUACGGGAGGCAGCAGUGGGGAAUAUUGGACAAUGGGCGCAAGCCUGAUCCAGCCAUACCGCGUGGGUGAAGAAGGCCUUCGGGUUGUGAAGCCCUUUUGUUGGGAAAGAAAAGCAGCAGGUUAAUACCCCGCUGUUCUGACGGUACCCAAAGAAUAAGCACCGGCUAACUUCGUG